CUGCAAAUGUGCCACGUCAAGACUGGAAAUCACAGCACUUCAGUGUGUUUCAGUUUUGCACACUAGGGAAUAAGAAACGCUAAGGGACACUGUGAAAAAGGAGGACUGCAGAAUAAAGCGGGGAAGACAUUCUGCUGCCAAUGUUUUAAAGUUGAAUUCUGUUAUGUGUGUUCCCCCCACCAAACGCCCCCCAAAGUGGACUGGCACAAAGUGUUGCACAGCAGCGGCGAUGGCUCCAAGGGACUGGCUGGACGGAGUUGUCAUGUGUCUGCCUGUCUACACUUGCUGUGCAGAACAUCCUCUCACCUGUACAGCAGGCACAGACAGGCAGUCGCAUGACAACCCAGCCUGAGGGACAGCCACCAGUGGGACCCUGCUCUGAGAGCCCAGAGCGUCUGCAGCACCAGCUCCAGCCAGGAGUCCUCUGGACCUCACACGGCCGCUCAGUCACCAAGCCCAGAGUCACAGCAGCACUGCCUGUCAAGUACAAUAAAACCCA